rnacentral:rRNA from 1 species
AACCGUGCAAAGGUAGCGUAAUCACUUGUCCCCUAAUUAGGGACCCGUAUGAAAGGCUAAAUGAGGAUAAAACUGUCUCUUGAGACCAAUCAAUGAAACUGAUCUCUCAGUACAAAAGCUGAGAUAUAACUAUAAGACGAGAAGACCCUGCGGAGCUUCAAGCCAAAAUACUACUGCCCCUACAACACAAACCCCGCCGGGGUCAAAACCCCACAAUAGUAAAGGGCUUUCAGUUGGGGCGACUGCGGAGAAAAACCAAACCUCCAUGAAAUAAGGCUAGACACCACCACAAAACACACAUGUUACCAGGUUAAACACUUGACCCAGCACAGCUGAUCAUCGAACCAAGUUACCCCAGGGAUAACAGCGCCAUCCCCCUCAAGAGUCCCUAUCGCCAGGGGGGUUUACGACCUCGAUGUUGGAUCAGGACGCCCAGGUGGUGAAGCCGCUACCAAAGGUUCGUUUGUUCAACGAUUAAUGUCCUACGUGAU